AAUUUCUUCAUUUCAGUUAAUUUUUUAAAAAAGAAUUGUAUAAAUAUUAAACAAAAAAGGGGGAUUCUUCACUUCUUUCUACUCCUAUAUAAAGUACCAAGCCCACAUGCUUUCCUUUGCCAUCAGUAAAUUUUUCUUUCUCUUUUGUCAUUAUUGUAUGCUUGUUUUGAUCAUCAAUCAUCAGCAUGGAGAACAAAGCUUUGGUUAGAUUGAUGCUACUUUUUCUGGGUUUCUCUUAUCUUCUCCUUUCCUGUGCUGCCGUUCCCACAACAAGAAGCCUCAAGUCAUAUAAGGAACUCCCUUCUUCUUCUGUCCAAGAUUUACUUGCUCAGGAUGUAAUGAAAUUGAAUGAAGCUGAGGAAUCGACUGGGGGAGGAGAUGCAAUAUUCAGUGAUGAAAGGAUGCUAAUGGAAAGCACAGAUUAUCCAGGGACAGGUGCAAACAAGAACCAUGAUCCCAAAACCCCAGGGAGAGCUUAGGAACAAAGGAACAAAAAAAAAAAGAGAAGCCCAUAAUUUUUACAUAUAAUUUGUUUUAUGUAUAGACCAAGAAUGAGGGAAAAAUAAAUAUAUGAGAGUUUGGAUCUGGGUUUGGGACUUUGCUUUGUCCUAUGUUUUGCUAGAAUAUGCUCUCUCUUCCUUUUUUUUUUUUCCCUCUCUUUCUAUCCAUAAUCUUGUUUAAGGUUGUUUUUGUUUGUUUGUCUGUCUGUCUGAAGAGUUGUACUAUAAUCUAACUUGAAUUGAGAAACUUGUGCGGAGGGUUUGGGGGUUCACUUUACACAGAAAGGAAUGUUAUGGGUAUUUUGAGGAUUAACUUUUGAUGA